CUAGCCUUAUCGGUGGAUCACUCGGUUCGUGGAUCGAUGAAGAAUGCAGCCAACUGCGAUAAAUAGUGUGAACUGCAGAUAUUUUGAACACUAAAGCUUCGAAUGCACAUUGCGCCAUUGGAUUUUUAUCCUUUGGUACAUCUGGCUCAGGGUCGUAUAUA
rnacentral:rRNA from 1 species